AUUCAAUAUUAUCAACGGAGAAGGUGUUCUCAAGUUUUAUCUGACCGAACAAGUUACAAGUUUAAACAAAGGUACGAAAAGAUGAAGAUAUUAUCAAGAGCAAUUGAUAAGUUUGUAAUCAGCAUUCCCAAAUCCAGGAUCUCCAAAGAAUCAACAAGUGAUAUUAGCAGACAACUCCAGAGUUCCAAAAAAAGUAUUGAUGAGCAGUUCAAACUAGAACCAUGCUGAAUCAAUAUUCUGGAGAGUGAAAAGUGAGGGAAGCUCUCAACUGUGAUUUUACAAAAAUAUUUCAUUAGGGAAAGAUAAGAAAUGGAAAUAUAGCUCACUCACUACAAGAAAACACGCCUUUUGCGAGGAUGAGUUGCGACGGAGGAUAGCUCUCGCAAAUUUGCGGUGGAUUUGCGACGGAUGUACGAGAAAAUAAAAAUACCUAGCAACUCCUUC